CCUACGGGUGGCUGCAGUGGGGAAUAUUGCACAAUGGGCGCAAGCCUGAUGCAGCCAUGCCGCGUGUGUGAAGAAGGCCUUCGGGUUGUAAAGCACUUUCAGCGGGGAGGAAGGCGGUGAGGUUAAUAACCUCAUCGAUUGACGUUACCCGCAGAAGAAGCACCGGCUAACUCCGUGCCAGCAGCCGCGGUAAUACGGAGGGUGCAAGCGUUAAUCGGAAUUACUGGGCGUAAAGCGCACGCAGGCGGUCUGUCAAGUCGGAUGUGAAAUCCCCGGGCUCAACCUGGGAACUGCAUUCGAAACUGGUAGGCUAGAGUCUUGUAGAGGGGGGUAGAAUUCCAGGUGUAGCGGUGAAAUGCGUAGAGAUCUGGAGGAAUACCGGUGGCGAAGGCGGCCCCCUGGACAAAGACUGACGCUCAGGUGCGAAAGCGUGGGGAGCAAACAGGAUUAGAUACCCCUGUAGUC
rnacentral:rRNA from 1 species